AAUAAGAUGCCUGAUUAAAGGGUUAUUUUGAUAGAAUAAAUCAAGUAAUUAAUAAAAUUACUCUUAUUA
rnacentral:tRNA from 1 species